rnacentral:rRNA from 1 species
AAAACGACUCUCGUCAACGGAUAUCUAGGCUCUCGCAUCGAUGAAGAACGUAGCGAAAUGCGAUACUUGGUGUGAAUUGCAGAAUCCCGCGAAUCAUCGAGUUUUUGAACGCAAGUUGCGCCCGAAGCCAUUCGGCCGAGGGCACGUCUGCCUGGGUGUCACGC